CAGAAAAAGAGGCAACCAUCUUUGGUGAUUUUUCUUCUUCGUGCUUAAGUUUAAACCAAUUACUUCGUAAAUAAUUCUCCUCCUUAGUGGCUGCAAUUAACCACCAGAUUUGUGUCCUUUGUGGUUGCAAGAAAGUAGGCAACUGAAGUGAAUAGAUUUUUGGGUUUGUGCAAUCUUUGGUUGAUGUUUAAUUCUUGUAUUGAAAAACUGAGCUGGAUUUUUUGCAUGAAUCGAAGUACUUCCGAGACAAAUGGUAUCAGAAGCGGCACAUGAGAGUAUCUUGUGCAAUUGAGAGCUUUGUUUGGUGUCUUCCUUCUUCAUCUCUCCCUUUGUAAUAUUGCAGUCACCAUAUUAUCGUUUGUGAGCAAUGUAAUUGGGCAACCAUGAGUGAGGUUUGGAUUUGGGGUUAAUAAUCAAGUGGUUGAUGUUUGAUUUGUUGGUUGAAACUGAGCCCGGUCUGUACAAUUGAUGAUCUUGGCAUUAAU
rnacentral:lncRNA from 1 species